rnacentral:misc_RNA from 1 species
AACCCAACUAAAUUAAAGAGUCGAGUACACUCAUGUCUCCUUAAAUAGCAUUAAUAAUACAUAAGAUAACCAAGGAACAAAUAUCUAGCCAAAAAACGAGAACCUAUCAUGUCAAACCAAAACAGACAAACUACAGCAUAAUACGAGGAAGGAAGCCCACAGCAGCCAUCUAGAGACUGGAAAAAAAAUAGCAUUACAAUCAUCUCCCUCUGUGUACAAAUAGUUGUCUUUCAUACAUACAUCAUUCAAAUCCCUGCUAACAUGGAGGUGGGAUGUGUUUUCCAGAUCAUCCACUCAUACAAAUUCAACAAAUGAAAUCCAACACUCUUCCAUGAUGCAAGCCAUUACGACACAUAUACAAGCUAUCAAGCAAUGGCUCACGCUUCUCCAUCAUCAGUCACCACCAGUCAAAUGUUUUGGCGCACCAGGUGGUGCUGUUGGCCUUGGGAAAUUGAACUGAGUGCCAUCAAAGUGUGGAGCCUCCACAUAGGGGCUCUGUGAUGCCAAUGUACCAUAAGAUGGCUCUUCAAGACUUCUAGAUUUUGGUGAUGUGCUGGGACAAGUUGCAUCAUGACUUGGUGCACUUCCAUUCAGUUUAUGCACAGCACCAUCUAGUGCAGUGUCACUCUCACUUCCAUUAGAUGACUUCACCCUCUGGAAGAUUUUACCAAGAGUUUUCAA